AGCAUAGUUUGAAGCUCAGCAAGAGUCCCCAUCUCACAGUGGACAGUUCAGUUGUUUUCCCUCCCUAAUGAAGAGAUGAGAGGUAUCUCAUCUCAACUACUUGAGUGUGAGAUUUACUACCAUAUGGAAAGGAAGCAUUUCAUGGCCCAUCCUAUGUAAAAUCUCCCCUUCUCUUCUUCUUAAGCAUCUACUUGUGACUCUGGAGAACAAUCUGGAAGCACCAAAUUUAUUACUAAAGUGAAACUCCAUAUUUGUUUUGAAUCUUGGGUUACUCAUUUGUUUUGAAGGAUUUGUUUGAAGCUAUUAGUCUGUGACUGUUUUACAAGGCCUGAUGGAGUUGUCUAUACACACUUAGCACUUAGUUUCUGUUGAUAAUGCUGUUAAAUGAAGUUAGUUCUCUAAUAAGUGUAACAGUGAAAUCAAAUCUCUCUUCCCCACAGGCUAAGGCAUGAUGCAUUCCUCCAGCAGAAUGGUGGUGUCUAUCAGUCAGGGGAUUUGUAAUCAGAUCUGCAAUCAGACAGGUGCUAAACGAGGAGGAUGA
rnacentral:lncRNA from 12 species